AUGAGGAUUUGGCUCCAUUUCGUUUUCAUUGUAGCAGCUCUGGGAGGCGCGCGGUCCCAGGUGCAGCUGGUGGAGUCCGGAGGGGAUGUGAAAAAGCCCGGAGACUCUCUCCGCCUCUCCUGCAAAGCCUCCGGGUUCACCUUCGGUGACUACUGGAUGAGCUGGGUCCGGCAGGCUCCUGGCAAGGGCCUGGACUGGGUCGCACGUAUAAGCUACUGGGCCGGCAGCACUGUGCGUUACGCCGACGCGGUCAAAGGCCGAUUCACCAUCUCCAGAGACAACCCCAACAACCUGCUGUAUCUGCAACUGACCGGCCUGAAGCCCGAGGACACCGCCCGCUAUUACUGUGCGAGAGACACAGUGAGGCGA